GCAGUGUUCCGGCUCUGCCGCUGGUGCCUACCUUCCUGUCUACCGACAGGUUCAGCGAGGCACGAGAGGAAAGUCCGGGCAGCACAGGACGCUCCACUUCUGAAAGUAGAAGCUGUCUGCGAAGGCAGGUUAGGGCAGAAGAAAACAACCGCUCCGCUUAAGGGAGUAAGGGUGAGAAGGCGGUGUAAGAGACCACCAGCCGGCGGGUGAUCGCCGGGCUGUGCCCACUGGAGGCUGCAAGUUCAUGUAUACCAUUGACCGAGGGUUGUCCGCCCGAGUUCCCCCGAGGAUGCAAUGGAGGGUAGAACGCUUCAGCCGUGGGGUGACUCACGGAGUAGAUAAAUGGCAGGCGCCUGCAAGGAGAAUCCUUCAGGAACAGAACCCGGCUUACAGGGACACUGUAUUC
rnacentral:RNase_P_RNA from 1 species